GGUGGCACCGAUCGAUACGAGAGGCUUACUCCAACAUGGCACCUGAUCUAUAUACUAACAAUUUAAAUGUCUAUGUUCCUUCUAUUUCUGACUUGUAUUGUUUAAAAAGACUAUUGUCCUUUAUUUAUGUUCGCUAUUUUCAUAUUCAAAAACAUUCAUGGGUUUUCUGUAUUUUUUCCAGAUAUUAAUUUCCACUAAACAUCGUUCAUGCCAGACAAAAACAACUUACAAGAAAAAGGUUUGCAGACAGUAGUUAUAAGUGGAGGUUUAGAAAUACAUGUUUAGAGAAUACCCGUUACCUUUAGUAAUGCACAGUCACAUGAUAAAUUAGUUUGUUAUGAAUUCUAGAAGAAUUCUUCCUAGGCUGAUGUAGGGAACGGAGUGCAAUUGGAUUAAUAAUUGGAUCUUGGGAGCAUUCACAGACAAUGAAUGCCGGUGAUUCCCAGCAUCGAUCUGUCAGAGAAUAAGGGGAAGAGAAGAUCUCAGUGGGGUGCUUACUCCAGUGAGACACCUCAUUCCACCCUGAAGUAUAGGGAGGUCCGUAUCACACGGCGGUUGUGACAGGUCGGCAGGGGAUGCUCACUCCUCCAUGGCACAUGAUCCCACCUCUGAUGUUUCGGGGGUCCCUAUUUGCUGUGCUCUUAUUUUGUAUUGUUUUAUGGAUGUUUAGAUUGUUGUUCAUUUUCUCUAAUUCUUUCAGUGUUUUUUUUUCUUAAAUAAAAAAUUAGACAGAGUGUGAAAA